rnacentral:lncRNA from 1 species
UGUAACAUAGGUUAUGGGAUAGUAUGGUCUCUUUUUGGGAGUUUUAGUGAAUACACCUCCUUGACACUAUGCUUUAUUUGGGGUCCACUUAUUUUCUAUUUUUCUUCUUUUUAUUUUUGACUUAUGUCUCACUUUUUAUUUUAAAUAGAUUGGGCCAUAUGCAGUUUUCUUUCUUUAUUCUUCUUUCUUUUUCUCUUCUUUUUCUUUGCUUUCAAUUUCUUCGAUUUUUCUUUUUAUUUUCACUGCACCCAUCCUUCAUUUUUCUUUCCACACUUUUUUUAUCAUGCUCGUUUUUCCCUAUGUACCCCUAAAAUAGCCACCCUCAACUUAGAUGAAUUUUCUGAGU